rnacentral:rRNA from 1 species
CCGGUGAAAAUAAGGGGUUGCGUUCGAACAUGACGAGGCCGCUACAGAAGGGAAGCAUCCGAGUGGAGAAACGCGACGAAGAAUAGGUAGGGGCACGGGGAUAACGAAGAUGGCCGACGACGUUCCUUACCGGCCCCCUACUUCCACGACGCGCUUAGCUGGACCCUGCGACGACGGCGUAUUGCCGCUCGAGUUGCUCGGGCUGCUACUGCCGUUCGUCGCUGGACCUUCCCCUCCUCCCCGUGCGGACCCGGCGGCGCGAAGGAGCUGGCGACGCUGCGGGAGGUACUACCCGCGGGGUUCUAAGAAGCCGGCGUCCUCCGCAGACUGCCGUCGCCGUGCAGAGGCCAGUUUAGGUUACUUUUUGUCGGGAGGACAGGCCGGUUCGCUGGUUCGGGGUUAUCGUUUUGGGUUACCAGCAGCGCGUCGUCUACGGCAGGUUGGUUCAAACACAAAGGUGUAACGAAGAAUACCGUAACUUUCGCAGAAGUUUCCGAAGGAGAAGGAGUAUGAACAUGUACGUUCGUGACUUUAGUCGUUCAUGUAAACCAGGUAGGAGCAGAAAAAAGAAUACUCCAUUCACGGACUACCGUAAAACGUAAUACACUUUUCACGUGCUAGGUACGGUACGAAGCCAUUUAUGACGGACUUAACGUAAUGGGUAACGAUGUAGAACUAGUCAUUUCUAACAAGAACCAACGAAAAACAAUACGUGACUAUCCUUG